GACGAACGCUGGCGGCGUGCUUAACACAUGCAAGUCGAACGGUAAGGCCCUUCGGGGUACACGAGUGGCGAACGGGUGAGUAACACGUUGGUGAUCUGCCCUGCACUUCGGGAUAAGCCUGGGAAACUGGGUCUAAUACCGGAUAGGACCACUGCCUGCAUGGGUGGUGGUGGAAAGCUGUUGCGGUGGGGGAUGGGCCCGCGGCCUAUCAGCUUGUUGGUGGGGUGGUGGACUACCAAGGCGACGACGGGUAGCCGGCCUGAGGGGGUGACCGGCCACACUGGGACUGAGAUACGGCCCAGACUCCGACGGGAGGCAGCAGUGGGGAAUAUUGCACAAUGGGCGCAAGCCUGAUGCAGCGACGCCGCGUGAGGGAUGACGGCCUUCGGGUUGUAAACCUCUUUCAGCACCGACGAAGCGCAAGUGACGGUAGGUGCAGAAGAAGGACCGGCCAACUACGUGCCAGCCGCCGCCGUAA
rnacentral:rRNA from 1 species